rnacentral:lncRNA from 12 species
CGGGCCCAGCCUCCGGGUCGGACUUCCCACAGGGCCACCCAAGGGCGUCCCCGGCCGAGCCGUGCGCCCCGAGCCUCCCGCCCAGGCCCCGGCGGCCCUGGAGCCCGCGCCCGUGGUGGCGCUGGUGUUGGCCGCCUUCGUGCUGGGCGCUGCGCUGGCCGCCGGGCUCGGCCUCGUCUGCGCGCGUUCAGGUACCAACCUCGGGCCCGCCGGGACUUCCGCGCGGCCCCCGGCCCGUUCCCGCGCGUCCGGGACCCCGGGUCGCCGCGACCCAGCCGGCGGGGCCUGGCCACGCGUAGAGCUGCCGGCGCCAAGCCCGGGGGGGCCCCCAGGGGGCGCCUUUGGCCGGGCCGGAGCGGGGCACCCUUACGGUUCGGAAGCCCGCCGGCUUUUCUUUUCAAGGGCCCCAAGCCCCGGGCCGGGCCCGGAGGGAUUCGCCAAGGGGCCCCCAGCCCGGGAGGCCCCAGUGAGCAGACUGCUGGCGGCCAGGGAUGGGCCGCGAAGGGGGCGGCCUGCGUGGGGUCCUCUCCUCCGCUCAGCCCGGGGAGCCCCUCCCCAGGGAUGGAGACGCCAGCCACGGCCUCGAACCAGGCCCACCAGGACCCGACCGGCCGCGGUCGACCUCGGACCUGCUCCCUGAGCCCUCCCGCCCCGCCCCUCCUCGCACCCUCCCAGCCCGGGCUCCAAAUAAACAUCUGGUCCGACCCGCUGAGUUCUGAAGUCUGCGUGUGCGCUUGGCGCGGGUGUAGGGGGCAGGAAGCAGAUGGGGGCCAGGGGAGACCUAAGGGAGCUGUUCCCAAACAGACAGGCGCACCCAACCCCACCUGCUUGCGUCUGAACAAGCUCCGCUUCAUCCCCCCCCACCCCGCACCUGCCCACCCGCCUCCGGCGGUCUUCCCGGAGCCAGGCUUGGCUCUCCACCCCUGCCGCCUGGACCCUGGCCUCGCGAGGGCCUUGCCCAGUUCUGUCUAGGCUAGAGCUCUCCAAACGUCUCCUGUCCGAGUUCCUACCUCCCCUCGAGCGGGACCACUAGCUCCAUUUUACAAAUGGGGAAACUGAGGCUCGGCUCGGCCAGAUCACAUGCCCUAGGUCCUACGGGCGGCUCAACCCCAACAGCCCAGGCUCCGGCCAGGAUCCACCCCUUUUGGAGAAGCAACGCACACAGUAGGAGUCUCGCAAGACUCAGGCCCGGAACGGAGGGAGGGCAGGGGGUCUAAGGUCUCGGCUCCAGGUCACGAAUGAGAGGGAGAUAAAAUGCAGGCGGGGGUGU